UCUUUAAACAGGCAGCCAACACCAAGUUUUGACAAUGCAUUACAAACAGUGCAAAGCCUCCGGAGCCGAAUGCUCUGUGAAUAUCAGUGCAGCACUGAUAAGCUGGACCCUGAACCAGUAUCACCCUCUGACCACACAGAGCCAGGAACAGCCCUAUUUAUUUUCUUCAUUCCACCUUCUCCUGCCACUUUAAAAUGGGGGAGAGGGGAACGGCCUGUGUGCUGUUCUUCCAGAAGCUGGUGGAAAGACAUGCCCAAAACCGCUGACUUCGUCCAUGUAGCUUAUCAGCAGGGCCAUUUUGAACAAGUUAUCUAAGCUCAGGGCCUCAAUGUCCUCACGCGUAAGUGAUGGCUCCAGAGGGAGUGUUCUUCUAAGACCUGGUGAGUGAUUUUGCUCCACAUGGGACAAUGUUGAUACCAAUGACACACUCCCUCCUCUCAUUGCCUGCUUCACCAGGGUGGAUGAAAGACUUCAGGCAGCCAAACUGAGGAUAGUAAAGAGGGGAGGGAGCCUCUGACACCAAGGAACAAAAGAAGGAGACCCAGCCCCACCAAGUCCACCUCCACUGCAAACUGAGAAUCAGUUCAGCCAAGGGGCAUGGAAAACAACAACCCCUUCAGGGCUGAAAGGGAGCAGCACACUAAACUAACAAGGAGAAGAACGCAAUGAACAGUGCUGCUGCAUCUCCUCUGUGAACAUCAGGGAUUCUGGACUUACUCAGAUAGAAUGUUCUAUUUUAAGGAUGAACCUGAGCUCUUCUAGUCCAAGAGGGAGACACAAGUAGCAACACACGUUAUCAUGCACACAGAGUCCUCUGCAGGCAAAGGCGCCCUUCUCCUCCCCAGCAGUAUCGCUAGACGUCAUCCGAUGCCGCUUCUUACCUUAACUGCUCGCAGGGUCACAGGGCUUGAAAACCACAGUGUUGGGGACAGCCCUAGAGCCAUUUAAGUACACCCCUUUCAUUUUCUAAGUGGGGAAACUACAAACCAUAGAGGCUGAAUAAUGUGCUCAAUUCAAAAGGCUUGAAAACAAGUGCCAAGGUUGGUGUAAAAUCUAGGACCUUCAAGUCUCAAUCUUAGUCCACCCUCUACAACAAUGUUCCCCGCUUUUCCCCUUAUUCAGACUAAACUAACAUCCAAAGCAUAGAAUUAUCUUGAAGGAGUAACAUUAAACAUCAGGAUCAAAAUAUAAAGAAAGGAAAAUCUAACAUCUCAUAUAGAAUAAUCUCAGCACUAUACCUAGAACACACCAGCUGACCUGGGCUUCUUUGGGUCCUGAGGGAGGCCAGCCAGGGGCAGAGGUCACCAGGAACAGCCUGGAGAGGGGAGAAGAGGGCCGCUGGAGGCCUUCAGGGCUCAAGCUUCUGCCACAGGGCCUUUGCACUGCCUCUUCCCUCUGUGGGAGCUCCAUCCCUGGGCAUCCACAGGGCUCACUCCCUCACCUCCUUCGCAUCUAUGCUCAUAGGCCCCAUUCUCUAUGUAGCCUCCCCUGACAACUCACUUGAAAAUUUCCCUUGAUAGUCCCCAUCUCUUGCACCCUACUUAAGUUUUUCCAUGGUAUUUAUCACUUUCUAAGAGACUACAAUAUGUUUAUUCUCUACCACCUUCCAUUUUAAAUAAUAUCCAUGAGGACAAAGAGUUUUGGUUCACUCCUCUAUCUCCUGGGUCUACAAUAGUGUCUGACACAUAAUAGGUGCUCAGUAAAUAAAUACUAGUAGAAUGGAUAAAUGAGUGCUCAUUCCUUCACUGUCUCCAUCAGCAACAACCACCUACACACCUCCUAUACACACACACACACGCACACACACACACACACACACACACACACACACACACACGCCUCUUUCUGCCCUU
rnacentral:lncRNA from 10 species